rnacentral:rRNA from 1 species
GCCAGACUCCUACGGGAGGCAGCAGUGAGGAAUAUUGGUCAAUGGGCGCGAGCCUGAACCAGCCAAGUAGCGUGAAGGAUGACUGCCCUACGGGUUGUAAACUUCUUUUAUAAAGGAAUAAAGUGAGGCACGUGUGCCUUUUUGUAUGUACUUUAUGAAUAAGGAUCGGCUAACUCCGUGCCAGCAGCCGCGGUAAUACGGAGGAUCCGAGCGUUAUCCGGAUUUAUUGGGUUUAAAGGGAGCGUAGGCGGAGGUGCAAGUCAGCGGUCAAAUUGCGGGGCUCAACCCCGUACUGCCGUUGAAACUGCAUCCCUUGAGUGCGCGAGAAGUAUGCGGAAUGCGUGGUGUAGCGGUGAAAUGCAUAGAUAUCACGCAGAACUCCGAUUGCGAAGGCAUCUGACGAAUCGGAGAUUGACGCUGAUGCACGAAAGCGUGGGUAUCGAACAGGAUUAGAUACCCCCGUAC